rnacentral:rRNA from 1 species
GUCCACGCCGUAAACGAUGAUAACUAGCUGUCCGGACACUUGGUGUUUGGGUGGCGCAGCUAACGCAUUAAGUUAUCCGCCUGGGGAGUACGGUCGCAAGAUUAAAACUCAAAGGAAUUGACGGGGGCCUGCACAAGCGGUGGAGCAUGUGGUUUAAUUCGAAGCAACGCGCAGAACCUUACCAGCGUUUGACAUCCCGCGCUAUCACAAGAGAUUGUGAGUUCCCUUCGGGGACGCGGUGACAAGUGCUGCAUGGCUGUCGU